rnacentral:lncRNA from 1 species
GAGAAUUUGAUACUGUAAAAAGUAAAUGUAGAGAAAAAUUGAAAACAUUUGAAUUUGACACUAUAAACAAUUUAAAAAAACAGAAAAUUGAACAUUUGGAUGAUGACGAAAUAGAUGAAUUCAAAAAAUUACAUACCGAUGCUAGCACAUUAGCUGACGACGAAAGCGAAUAUGGUAUAAAUUAUGAAAAUAUAGAAAUAAUGGAACCAUUACAUAUAGAUGCUAGCACAUUAGCUGAUGACGAAAGCGAAUAUGAUAUCGAUUAUGAAAUAAUGAAAGAAUGGAAAUCAUUAUAUCAAUAUCCCAACAUAUUAGAAGAAAAAAAAAACAAAUAUGGUAAAAAUUAUCGCAAUAUAGAAAUAAUGGAGACAUUACAUACAGAUCCCAACAAAUUAGAAGAUAAAGAAAAAGAAUAUGCUAAAGAUUAUGACGAAUUAAUAAAGCAAAGAAUGAAUAAAAAUAAACUUUUAAAAAAUAAAUUAUUAAUUGCAGAGAGAAAUACAUAUAAAUUAUUGAAAAAAAAAGUACAUAGCUUAAAGUUAUUUAAUGAUUUAACAAUAAAAAAUGACAUGUUACUAAAAAAAAUAUUAAACGACACAUCCUAUUUCUGUAAAGAAGAUGAAACUAAAGAUGAAAAAACAUUAACAGUUGAACGUCCAGAAGUUGAAUUAAUAAAAAAGAAUAUAUCACAAUUGCAAGAAGCAAUUGAUAUAAAAUUAAAAAGUGAUUUAUCGGAAUCGGAAACUUUGGUAGAGAAUUUGUUAAAUGAUGAAAUAACUUCUGUUGAUUUUUUAAUUGAUAAAACAUUUUAUGAUCAAAUAGAAAAUUCUGAGGCACUUAAAAAUGAAUUACUUGAAAGUGAAAUAAAAAAGAUAAAAUUUCUUAUUGAUAAAUUAUUAGAAGACGAAUUAAUAGAAUAUGAUAAUUUAUUUGAUGAAAAUAUCACAAUGGAAUUGAUUUUGAAUAUAGUAGAUAACAUAAACAUAGAAAAUUAUGCAAAAAGACAUAUAAAAAAAUUACUAGUCCACUAUAUGGAUAACAAUGAUCCAUUUGAACAAGUUCAGAUAUAUGCUGACAUCAAACAAUAUAUAAACAGUCAAUUGCAUCCAAAAUCUAUGGAUAAACUUUCUAAAUUGCUUAAAUUACGCCAAGGUCGUAAACGUUUAUUGCGUUCAAAAGUUUGGAAAACU